rnacentral:rRNA from 1 species
GCAGCCGCCGCGGUAAAACGGAGGGGGCUAGCGUUGUUCGGAAUUACUGGGCGUAAAGCGCACGUAGGCGGCUUUGUAAGUUAGAGGUGAAAGCCCGGAGCUCAACUCCGGAAUUGCCUUUAAGACUGCAGAGCUAGCAGGUGAGAGAGGUGAGUGGAAUUCCGAGUGUAGAGGUGAAAUUCGUAGAUAUUCGGAAGAACACCAGUGGCGAAGGCGGCUCACUGGCUCAUACUGGACGCUGAGGUGCGAAAGCGUGGGGAGCAAACAGGAUUAGAUACCCCGGUAGUCCCUGUCUCUUAUAA